rnacentral:tRNA from 1 species
GCUUUUAAAGGAUAACAGCUCAUCCGUUGGUCUUAGGAACCAAAAACUCUUGGUGCAAAUCCAGGUAAAAGUU